GCCAGUGCCCUGGAGUCCCGGGCACUUUGCGGCUCCAGGCAGCGGCCGGAGCCCCUGUAAGCAGGGGUGCAGCCUCUUUGGCCACUGCCUUGCAUGCCCAGCUGCCUUUGCCCAGAGGGCCCGGCCCCCAGCAGCGGAUGGGACUGCGUCGCUCUGGCGUCGGAGAAGAAAGAAGAGACAGGAGUGCAACUUGGAGGCAAGAGCGAAGAAGACGAGCAGCAGCGUCGAGCUCAAGAGGGGGCACGACAGAGACCCUCUGGGCAAAUGCACAUCCCUGGCACCCCCUGGGCAGGGAUCCGUAAGCAUCCGGCGGGCACCUUCAGGCUGCCCCGGCCGGCUUUGCGCUGGGCGACCUCCCUGUAAGCAGGGCUGGGUCUUUGCUUUGCUUUGCUUUGCUGGCCUUUGGCCAUGGCGCUCCUUUGGCUGCCCGGAGAGGGGGGCAA